AUUGUUCUCUAUUCUUUGGAGGUUGGAAAUCCCCAUUUCUGAAACCCUAGGUUGGUUUCUUCCAUAAGCUCGACCUCCAAUUGCCUUCCGGACCUGGGCAUAAGAGUUCCAUCACAUGAUAAUCAGAUACNAAAGUUAGUUGAAGAUCUUGGCAGGAGAUCGUUAGCUGCAUUUGAUACUCCUACAGGUUUAUGGAGUUGAUAUACAUCCAGGUAUGUUAGGUUGAUGUUUGCAUGAAAACGAGGAAUACUUUAGUAUGCUGCGAAAAUUGGAAAUGGAAUUUUAGUAGAUCAUGGGACAUGUGUUGUUAUUGGUGAAACUGAUAUAAUUGGAAACAGAGUUUCACUGAUGCAAUUUUUGGCAGGGUGUAACUUUGGGUGGCACUGGAAAGGAAACAGGUGAUCGGCAUCCCAAAGUUGUUGAAGGUGUGCUCAUUGGUGCUCAU